UAGGGAAUCUUCGGCAAUGGGGGCAACCCUGACCGAGCAACGCCGCGUGAGUGAAGAAGGUUUUCGGAUCGUAAAGCUCUGUUGUAAGAGAAGAACGUGUGUGAGAGUGGAAAGUUCACACAGUGACGGUAACUUACCAGAAAGGGACGGCUAACUACGUGCCAGCAGCCGCGGUAAUACGUAGGUCCCGAGCGUUCUCCGGAUUUAUUGGGCGUAAAGCGAGCGCAGGCGGUUUAAUAAGUCUGAAGUUAAAGGCAGUGGCUUAACCAUUGUUCGCUUUGGAAACUGAUAAGCUUGAGUGCAGAAGGGGAGAGUGGAAUUCCAUGUGUAGCGGUGAAAUGCGUAGAUAUAUGGAGGAACACCGGUGGCGAAAGCGGCUCUCUGGUCUGUAACUGACGCUGAGGCUCGAAAGCGUGGGGAGCAAACGGG
rnacentral:rRNA from 1 species